UUUCCAGUGGCUCAGUCAGUAGAGAAUUCUGAUUGCACCGCAAAGGUCAUGGGUUCAAACCCCAAGGAAAG